rnacentral:rRNA from 1 species
GGGAGUCAGACUAUGUGAGAUAAGUUUCAUAGUCGAAAGGGAAACAGCCCAGACCGUCAGCUAAGGUCCCAAAAUAUAGGUUAAGUGGAAAAGGAUGUGGGGUUGCACAGACAGCUAGGAUGUUGGCUUAGAAGCAGCCAUUCAUUCAAAGAGUGCGUAAUAGCUCACUAGUCGAGUGACCCUGCGCCGAAGAUAAACGGGGCUAAAACCUAUUACCGAAGCUACGGAUACUUAAUGUAUGGUAGAGGAGCGUCGUAUACGGGUUGAAGCAGUACUGUAAGGUAUUGUGGACUUUAUACGAGAGAGAAUGUUGGCAUGAGUAGCGCGAGGCAGGUGAGAAUCCUGCCCACCGAAAAUCUAAGGUUUCCUGAGGAAGGUUCGUCCACUCAGGGUUAGUCGGGGCCUAAGCCGAGGGCGAAAGCCAUAGGCGAUGGAUAACAGGUCGAAAUUCCUGUACCACCGAAGGUUGUUUGAAUGAUGUGGGGACACAGGAGGAUAAGCUGAGCACGCCGUUGGUAGAGCGUGUCCAAGCGUCAAGGGAGUAUGGAUAGGCAAAUCCGUUCAUAUAUAUUCUGAGGCGUGAUGGGGUGGUCAAUAGACCGGAAGCAGCUGAUUUCACACUGUCAAGAAAAGCCGCUAAUUAGACCUAAGGUGCCCGUACCGCAAACCGACACAGGUAGAUGAGGAGAGAAUCCUAAGGUGAGCGAGCGAACUAUUGUUAAGGAACUCGGCAAAAUAACCCCGUAACUUCGGGAGAAGGGGUGCCUGCUUCGGCAGGCCGCAGUGAAAAGGCCCAGGCAACUGUUUACCAAAAACACAGGUCUCUGCAAAAGCGAAAGCUGAAGUAUAGGGGCUGACGCCUGCCCGGUGCUGGAAGGUUAAGGGGACGUGUCAUCGCAAGAGAAGCACUGAACUUAAGCCCCAGUAAACGGCGGCCGUAACUAUAACGGUCCUAAGGUAGCGAAAUUCCUUGUCGGGUAAGUUCCGACCCGCACGAAAGGCGUAAUGAUCUGGGCACUGUCUCAACAAUAGACUCGGUGAAAUUGUAGUACCGGUAAAGAUGCCGGUUACCCGCAGCAGGACGGAAAGACCCCGUGGAGCUUUACUGUAGCUUGAUAUUGAGUUUCGGCGUUGCAUGUACAGGAUAGGUGGGAGACAAUGAAGCAAGUACGCCAGUAUUUGCGGAGUCAUCGUUGGGAUACCACCCUUGUAACGCUGGAAUUCUAACCAUGUACCGUGAACCGGUGCUGAGACAGUGUCAGGUGGGCAGUUUGACUGGGGCGGUCGCCUCCUAAAGAGUAACGGAGGCGCCCAAAGGUUCCCUCAGAGCGGACGGAAAUCGCUCGAAGAGUGUAAAGGCAGAAGGGAGCUUGACUGCGAGACCAACAAGUCGAGCAGGGACGAAAGUCGGGCUUAGUGAUCCGGUGGCAUCCGAGUGGAAGGGCCAUCGCUCAACGGAUAAAAGCUACCCCGGGGAUAACAGGCUGAUACCGCCCAAGAGUUCACAUCGACGGCGGUGUUUGGCACCUCGAUGUCGGCUCGUCUCAUCCUGGGGCUGGAGUAGGUCCCAAGGGUUGGGCUGUUCGCCCAUUAAAGAGGUACGCGAGCUGGGUUCAGAACGUCGUGAGACAGUUCGGUCCCUAUCCGCUGUGGGCGUUGGAAAUUUGAGUGGAGCUGUCCUUAGUACGAGAGGACCGGGAUGGACAUACCUCUGGUGCACCAGUUGUUCUGCCAAGGGCAUAGCUGGGUAGCCACGUAUGGACGGGAUAAGCGCUGAAAGCAUCUAAGUGCGAAGCCCCCCACAAGAAAAGAUUUCCUCCUUUAAGGUAAGACCCGUGGGAGACUACCACGUGAUAGGUCAGAGGUGUAAGUGCAGUAAUGUAUUAAGCUGACUGAUACUAAUAGGUCGAACACUUGACCAG